rnacentral:lncRNA from 1 species
GGCGAAGAGAAAAAACUUGGAGGCGCGGCCCGUGACUUAUGCUUCAAGCGACCCUCGAGUUCCGGUAUGGGAGAACGCAGGAAGGAAUUUCGCUUGCGG